ensembl:lncRNA TEX41 testis expressed 41
GGCCUCCAUCUUGAAAACGGAAAAUAAAAACAGCAGACCUAUGAAGGUCGAAGGGGAAGAAAAGCUGUAUCGAUUGUUGAGAUCUGGCGACUUGUUUAAAUUUCAUCAGCCUCACUUCUAUGAACUCUCAGAGCUGAUUACCAACUCCUACCACUGUUAACCCUCAUCCAGGAACAAGCUUAUGUCUUUAACAUUCUGAGUGGGCUUCAGCAUCCUUGCAUAUGUUCAAUUCUUAAAAACCUGUUGAAAUAAAAGAUCAGGAGACAUAGGAAGGAUGCCAGAAGAGAGCGUGGCCUCACGUGUACCAGCUCUCUGCUCUCCUUUGCCUUGGGACGUUCCAUCCCUGGAAGUUUCCCUGCCCACAUCUUUGUAGAGAGUCCAUUCUCCAAGCUUCAGUGUGUCAUCUGUGAGGACCGUGACCCACCUGGUACAUCGCCUCAGGGCAUUCAUUUCAGGCUCCUUCUAAAUGGCCAAGCGCCCAUUGCUAGUUGCUUCCUGGAGGAAUUUCCCAAAAUAAAAGUGCCUAUCCACAAAUCCUUCUCCUGAGGCUGCUUUUUUGGAGAAUUCAAGUUAAGGAAGAUUUCUAUUGGAUCAGUAUAUGUACAUGAAGUUCACUUUACUCUUCAUUCCCAGUGAAAAUGCUUUGGCAAUUUUGAGUACAAUUUAAAUAUUUUCUUCAUUAUUUUGCAUUUCAGUUUUAGACAUGCUUUAUCUUUAUUCUGUUAUAAAACUUUAAUUAAGACUUCCAACUCUUAUAUACUACCUCAGAUAUCUUCUAGCUUUUAUACCAGAGAGAUGAUAAUCUGUAAAUAAAUAUUUAAAUGUACUAGAAAUUCAGCUAUUAAAGGACUAUUAUGAAGACGUAA